rnacentral:lncRNA from 1 species
GGGGUCCUAUGGGAUCCUAUGGGAUCCUGUGGGGUCCUAUGGGGUUUUAUGGGGUCUUGUAGGGUCCGGUGGGGUUCUAUGGGGUUCUAUGGGGCUCCGUGGUGUCCUAUGGGGUCCUAUAGGAUCCUAUGGGGUUUUAUGGGGUCCUAUGGGGUCCUAUGGGGGCUCUGUGGAGUCCUAUGGGAUCCUAUAGGAUCCUAUGGGGUUUUAUGGGGUCCUAUGGGAGCUCUGUGGGAUCCUAUGGGAUCCUAUGGGGUCCUAUGGGGUUUUAUGGGGUCCUACGGGGUCCUAUGGGAUCCUAUGGGAGCUCUGUGGGGUCCUAUGGGGCUCUGUGGGAUCCUAUGGGAUCCUGUGGGGUCCUGUGGGGUCCUAUGGGGUCCUAUGGGGUUUUAUGGGGUCCUAUGGGGGCUCUGUGGGGUCCUAUGGGGUCCUAUGGGGUUUUAUGGGGUCCUAUGGGGGCUCUGUGGGAUCCUAUGGGGUCCUAUGGGGUUUUAUGGGGGCUCUGUGGGAAUCUNNGUCCUAUGGGAGCUCUGUGGGAUCCUAUGGGGUCCUAUGGGGUUUUAUGGGGUCCUAUGGGGGCUCUGUGGGAUCCCAUGGCAUCUUAUAGGAUCCUAUGGGGUCCUAUGGGGUUUUAUGGGGUCCUAAGGGGGCUCUGUGGGGUCCUAUGGGAUCCUAUGGGAUCCUAUGGGGCCCUAUGGGGUUCUUUGGGGUCCUGGCCCCCUAGAACUGGGCCCUAUAUGGGAGUUAUGGGUCCCGGAGCCACACGAUGGGUUCUGGGGGUCAGAAAUGGGAUCCUAUGGGGCUGGGACCCACAGAACGGGGCGCUGUGGGCUUUCUAUGGGGUUUCUAUGGGGUUUCUAUGGGGUUUCUUUGGGGUUUCUAUGGGUCCCAGACCCCAAGUCCUCCUAGUUUUCCCUCUGCCCCACAUCCCCACCCCACACAUCCCAGCCCCACAUCGGCGCCCCACAUCCCCGCCCCACACCCCAGCCCCACAUCCCCGCCCCACAUCCCAGC